rnacentral:misc_RNA from 1 species
AGGCUUGCUCGAGUUACGCCCCGAUCCUCAGGUGGCUCCUCCUUGAAGGUGUCGGCGGAGGGUCGGGUGUUUCUCGUCUCGCGUUGGGACGACGCAUGAGUGGCAUUCAGGACGUGAUCCCAGUGCAGGCUCCAUUGCUUCGUGCAUCGAACUGCCCCGGUCUGUCCGUUUCAUUAGUUGGUUCGCCACGGCCCUCACGGGGUCGGUUGCGGCCGCACGGCGGGUUCCUGUUCUCGAUAUUCGGACAAGGCUUAGCUGGAUGGAUCAUUGUCCCCGUCUUGGUUCCCUCGAUCCGACCCUCGGUAUCCUUGGAGUCGGUGGAUAUCAUCUUGCGGGCAUCCGACGUUGUCCAUCGAGGGAGCGUGUCCCCUUUUGGGCGCUUCUUCUCGUGUUUGGGCGUCGGUGCGACCGUCGGGCAUUCUCUCGAGUACGGUGAUUUCGUUGGUUAUCGCAUCGGUCCUCGUCGGCCGUCGAGAUCUCGUCGCGUCGAAGCGCUGACCCUUCCCCUCGCGAGAACCUCGUGCUUCGGCAAAGGGCUCACGGAGCUUCGCCGUUUCGUGAUCGUCCUGGGGAGGCAUCGAGGUCCACGGAGGAACACGUUACCUGGUUGAUCC